UUAUCUAAAAUGACUCUCGGCAACGGAUAUCUCGGCUCUUGCAUCGAUGAAGAACGUAGCGAAAUGCGAUACUUGGUGUGAAUUGCAGAAUCCCGUGAAC
rnacentral:rRNA from 4 species